rnacentral:rRNA from 1 species
AAUUGGGAGAGACUAACAGGAUUCCCCUAGUAACUGCGAGUGAAGCGGGAAAAGCUCAAAUUUAAAAUCUGGCGGUCUUUGGCUGUCCGAGUUGUAGUCUGGAGAAGUGUUUUCCGCGCUGGACCGUGUACAAGUCUCUUGGAAUAGAGCGUCAUAGAGGGUGAGAAUCCCGUCUUUGACACGGACUGCCAGUGCUUUGUGAUGCGCUCUCAAAGAGUCGAGUUGUUUGGGAAUGCAGCUCAAAAUGGGAGGUAAAUUCCUUCUAAAGCUAAAUAUUGGCGAGAGACCGAUAGCGAACAAGUACCGUGAGGGAAAGAUGAAAAGCACUUUGGAAAGAGAGUUAAACAGUACGUGAAAUUGCUAAAAGGGAAACGCUUGAAGUCAGUCGCGUUGUUCAGAACUCAGCCUGGCUUUUGCUUGGUGCAUUUUCUGAAUGACGGGCCAGCAUCAAUUUUGACCGUUGGAUAAAGGCUUUGGGAAUGUGGCAUCUUCGGAUGUGUUAUAGCCCUUGGUUGCAUACAACGGUUGGGAUUGAGGAUCACAGCAUGCCUUUAUGGUCGGGGUUCGCCCACGUUCAUGCUUAGGAUGCUGGCGUAAUGGCUUUAAACGACCCGUCUUGAAACACGGACCAAGGAGUCUAACAUGCCUGCGAGUGUUUGGGUGGAAAACCCGAGCGCGUAAUGAAAGUGAUAGUUGGGAUCCCUGUCGUGGGGAGCACCGACGCCCGGACCAGACCUUCUGUGACGGAUCCGCGGUAGAGCAUGUAUGUUGGGACCCGAAAGAUGGUGAACUAUGCCUGAAUAGGGUGAAGCCAGAGGAAACUCUGGUGGAGGCUCGUAGCGAUUCUGACGUGCAAAUCGAUCGUCAAAUUUGGGUAUAGGGGCGAAAGACUAAUCGAACCAUCUAGUAGCUGGUUCCUGCCGAAGUUUCCCUCAGGAUAGCAGAACUCAUGUCAGAUUUAUGUGGUAAAGCGAAUGAUUAGAGGCCUUGGGGUUGAAACAACCUUAACCUAUUCUCAACUUUAAAUAUGUAAGAACGAGCCGUCA